rnacentral:lncRNA from 1 species
UUUUUUAAAAAAAAAUUUGGAAAAAUAGAAAAACGGGAGAAAAUCCUGCAAGAAAAGGACUGCCCAUGCGGGCGCCUGUGCACCGUGCACACACACGUGCGUACCGCAGGUGUGGGACGUGCACACAGCGUGCAUGUCCUAUCCAUGCGUGCGGUGCGCGAUUAACCUUGCGCGCGUCAUGUCAUGCACAGGCGGAUUGUUUUCAUGUCACCUCGUGUGUGAACAAGUGCCGCACAUU